GUUGAUCUGUCCCCCCGGCGGGAAGAAGCUAACCUUCGGGAAGAUGAGAAUAAUCGAAUGCGGCAAAGAGACACGAGGAUUGAUGUGUGCGUGAGUGAGUAUG
ensembl:ncRNA T23F2.10 ncRNA